rnacentral:rRNA from 1 species
ACUCCUACGGGAGGCAGCAGUGAGGAAUAUUGGUCAAUGGGCGAGAGCCUGAACCAGCCAAGUAGCAUGAAGGAUGACCGCCCUAUGGGUUGUAAACUUCUUUUGUGUGGGAAUAAAGUGAGCCACGUGUGGCUUUUUGUAUGUACCAUACGAAUAAGGAUCGGCUAACUCCGUGCCAGCAGCCGCGGUAA